rnacentral:tRNA from 1 species
UCCCUGGCGGUCCAGUGGUGAGGACGCAGCACUUUCGCUGCUGUGACCCGGGUUCAAUCCCUGCUCGGGGC